UACGGAGAGGGCUAGCGUUGUUCGGAAUUAUUGGGCGUAAAGGGCGCGUAGGCGGUGCGGUAAGUCUUCUGUGAAAUCUCCGGGCUCAACCCGGAGCCUGCAGGGGAAACUGCCGUGCUUGAGUGUGGGAGAGGUGAGUGGAAUUCCCGGUGUAGCGGUGAAAUGCGUAGAUAUCUGGAGGAACACCGGUGGCGAAGGCGGCAUCCUGGACCGGCAUUGACGCUGAGGCGCGAAAGCCAGGGGAGCAAAC
rnacentral:rRNA from 1 species